GCAUAUCAAUAAGCGGAGGAAAAGAAACCAACAGGGAUUGCCUCAGUAACGGCGAGUGAAGCGGCAAGAGCUCAAAUUUGAAAGCUGGCUCCUUCGGGGUCCGCAUUGUAAUUUGCAGAGGAUGCUUCGGGAGCGGCCCCCAUCUAAGUGCCCUGGAACGGGCCGUCAUAGAGGGUGAAAAUCCCGUCUGGGAUGGGGUGUCCGCGCCCGUGUGAAGCUCCUUCGACGAGUCGAGUUGUUUGGGAAUGCAGCUCUAAAUGGGUGGUAAAUUUCAUCUAAAGCUAAAUAUUGGCCGGAGACCGAUAGCGCACAAGUAGAGUGAUCGAAAGAUGAAAAGCACUUUGAAAAGAGAGUUAAACAGCACGUGAAAUUGUUGAAAGGGAAGCGCUUGCGACCAGACUCGCCCACGGGGUUCAGCCGGCAUUCGUGCCGGUGUACUUCCCCGCGGGCGGGCCAGCGUCGGUUUGGGCGGCCGGUCAAAGGCCCUCGGAAUGUAACGCCCCCCGGGGCGUCUUAUAGCCGAGGGUGCCAUGCGGCCAGCCCAGACCGAGGAACGCGCUUCGGCUCGGACGCUGGCAUAAUGGUCGUAAGCGACCCGUCUUGAAACACGGACCAAGGAGUCUAACAUCUACGCGAGUGUUCGGGUGUCAAACCCGUGCGCGCAGUGAAAGCGAACGGAGGUGGGAACCCCUCGGGGUGCACCAUCGACCGAUCCUGAUGUCUUCGGAUGGAUUUGAGUAUGAGCGUAGCUGUUGGGACCCGAAAGAUGGUGAACUAUGCCUGAAUAGGGUGAAGCCAGAGGAAACUCUGGUGGAGGCUCGCAGCGGUUCUGACGUGCAAAUCGAUCGUCAAAUUUGGGUAUAGGGGCGAAAGACUAAUCGAACCAUCUAGUAGCUGGUU
rnacentral:rRNA from 1 species